AGCACUUUGAUCAUGGUUUUGUCAUUAUUUAAAUAGGCAGAAACCGGGAAUAGGGUGCUAAAAGUAAACCCUUCUUUGCAACCCACAACUGUCACAUUCCACCAGUUGUGUUACUAUAUAGAAGGGACAG